CCUGGCUCUAUGGGCCUGACCUUUAUUAUUGCUACUACUAUUAUUAUUGUUAGUUGUUACUGUUAGUUGUGCCUUUCUUUCUUAGGCUAGAAAAGGACUUAGGAAGGGGUCUAAGCAAGCAAGCCGCUCCAGGAUGACGAUGUUGAUGUGCAUUCAGACCUUAGGCAAUGGUCUACCAGGCAAGCUGCUCCAUUAUUAUUAUUAUUAUUUUGAUUAGUAGCAGUUGUUGUGAGAUCUAGCUGGCAAACUGAUCAAAUAUCUAGUGGAGCCCUCGGUGGCACAAUGGGUUAAACCUUUGUGCUGGCUCACCAAAUGGUCUGGAGUUCUAAUGUGAGAGCGGGGUGAGCUCCCAUCUGUCAGCUCCAGCUUCUCAUGCGGGUAAAAUAUCCGGGAGUCCCCUGGGCAACGUUCAAUUCUCUUACACUAGAAGCGACUUGACACGCACACAAAAUAAUUAUUAGUGUCUUAAGAUCCUAGGCAACAAACGAACUUGGGAAUGGGUCUAGCAUUCAGGCCUAUUGUUGUUGUUGUGAGUGCCUCCAGAUCCUAGGCCACUAGCAGACUUGGCAAUAAGUCUAGUAGACAAGCUGCUAUUAUCGUUGUUGUUGUUGUUGUGAGUGCCUCCAGAUCCUAGGCCACUAGCAGACCUGGGAAUAAGUUUAUUAGGCAGGCUGCUUAUUAUUCUUAUUUCUUCAUUCCCUACGCAACAAGCGGAUUUGGAAAUGGAUCUUAUUAGUAGGUCACCCAACAUCCAAGUACUCACCUUGACACCUGCUUCUACCAUCUCCAACAAAGAAAAAGAUAAAACCAAUCCCGGGCCAGGCGAGCCGCAAAGACUUGUGGGGGGG